rnacentral:rRNA from 1 species
GAUCAUGGCUCAGGAUGAACGCCGGCGGCGUGCCUAACACAUGCAAGUCGAGCGAAGCACUUUGCUUAGAUUCUUCGGAUGAAGAGGAUUGUGACUGAGCGGCGGACGGGUGAGUAACGCGUGGGUAACCUGCCUCAUACAGGGGGAUAACAGUUAGAAAUGACUGCUAAUACCGCAUAAGACCACAGCACCGCAUGGUGCGGGGGUAAAAACUCCGGUGGUAUGAGAUGGACCCGNGU